UGCAUCGGCCGGGAAUCGAACCCGGCCCGGGUGGCAGGCGAGCAUUCUACCACUAAGCCACCGAUGC